UACGGGGGGGGCAAGCGUUGUUCGGAAUUACUGGGCGUAAAGGGCUCGUAGGUGGCCAACUAAGUCAACCGUGAAAUCCCUCGGCUUAACCGGGGAACUGCGUUUGAUACUGGAUGGCUUGAGUUUGGGAGAGGGAUGCGGAAUUCCAGGUGUAGCGGUGAAAUGCGUAGAUAUCUGGAGGAAUACCGGUGGCGAAGGCGGCAUCCUGGACCGGCAUUGACGCUGAUGAGCGAAAGCUAGGGGAGCAAACGGG
rnacentral:rRNA from 1 species